ACGGGAGGCAGCAGUGAGGAAUAUUGGUCAAUGGGCGAGAGCCUGAACCAGCCAAGUAGCGUGAAGGAUGACUGCCCUAUGGGUUGUAAACUUCUUUUGUUCGGGAAUAAAGUGCGGGACGUGUCCCGCUUUGCAUGUACCGUUCGAAUAAGCAUCGGCUAAUUCCGUGCCAGCAGCCGCGGUAAUACGGAAGAUGCGAGCGUUAUCCGGAUUUAUUGGGUUUAAAGGGAGCGUAGGCCGUGCUUUAAGCGUGUUGUGAAAUGUAGGCGCCCAACGUCUGCACUGCAGCGCGAACUGGAGCACUUGAGUACGCAGGAAGUAGGCGGAAUUCGUCGUGUAGCGGUGAAAUGCUUAGAUAUGACGAAGAACUCCGAUUGGGAAGCCAGCUUACUGUAGCGCCACUGACGCUGAUGCUCGAAAGCGUGGGUAUCGAACAGGAUUAGAUACCCUGGUA
rnacentral:rRNA from 1 species